CUUUUAUCCGGGAUGCCUCUGCUCCUCACGGGUCCAGUCCGCUUCUCCAACACCACCACCCUCUCAGUCCCACCUCUCCCUUCUCCUUCCACCACGCCGCCGCCUACGGUGGCGGGUACCCGUUCGCCGCCGGAGCCGAGGGGGCGGGCCAGCUGAGCCCGGCCCAGAUGCAGUACAUCCAGGCCCGCCUCCACCUGCAGCGCCAGGCGCAGUCCUCCGUCCUGGGCCCGCGGGCCCAGCCCAUGAAGGUCUCGUCGGCGUCUGCGGCGGCCCCGACCCCGCCGCGGCCGCAGAAGCUGUACCGCGGCGUGCGGCAGCGGCACUGGGGCAAGUGGGUGGCGGAGAUCCGCCUCCCGCGCAACCGCACCCGCCUCUGGCUCGGCACCUUCGACACCGCCGAGGAGGCAGCGCUCGCCUACGACCAGGCCGCCUACCGCCUCCGCGGCGACGCGGCGCGCCUCAACUUCCCCGACAACGCCGCCUCCCGCGGCCCGCUCCACGUCUCCGUCGACGCCAAGCUCCAGCAGCUCUGCCAGAACAUCGCCGCAUCCAAGAAGGGCGCCAAGAAGUCCGCCGCAGCCGCCACGUCAUCCUCCGCCCCCACCAGCAAUUGCUCAUCGCCGUCCUCCGACGACGCGACCUCGUCCUGCCUCGAGUCCGCCGCCGAGUCCUCGUGUCCGUCCCCGUCGCCGUCCGCCUCGCCCGAGUCGACGGUGCCGGAGAUGCAGCAGCUGGACUUCAGCGAGGCACCGUGGGACGAGGCCGCCGGCUUCGCCCUCACCAAGUACCC
rnacentral:lncRNA from 1 species